rnacentral:rRNA from 1 species
AUUGAACGCUGGCGGCAGGCCUAACACAUGCAAGUCGAGCGGAUGAAGGGAGCUUGCUCCUGGAUUCAGCGGCGGACGGGUGAGUAAUGCCUAGGAAUCUGCCUGGUAGUGGGGGAUAACGUCCGGAAACGGGCGCUAAUACCGCAUACGUCCUGAGGGAGAAAGUGGGGGAUCUUCGGACCUCACGCUAUCAGAUGAGCCUAGGUCGGAUUAGCUAGUUGGUGGGGUAAAGGCCUACCAAGGCGACGAUCCGUAACUGGUCUGAGAGGAUGAUCAGUCACACGGGAACUGAGACACGGUCCAGACUCCUACGGGAGGCAGCAGUGGGGAAUAUUGGACAGUGGGCGAAAGCCUGAUCCAGCCAUGCCGCGUGUGUGAAGAAGGUCUUCGGAUUGUAAAGCACUUUAAGUUGGGAGGAAGGGCAGUAAGUUAAUACCUUGCUGUUUUGACGUUACCAACAGAAUAAGCACCGGCUAACUUCGU